UGUUGCCCAGGCUGGAGUGCAGUGGCUAUUCACAGACAUGAUCAUAGCACACUACUGCCACAAACUCUUGGUCUGAUGUUUUAGCCUCCCAAGUAGCUGGGAC